ACUGCACCAGGAAGCUCGCAUCCGUGGCGACCAGCACCAAGCAGAACAAACCAGACCACAGGCCGAUCCACAGCCGAAACUCGAGCUCUGGCAAAUCCCCCGCACACGGCUGAUGCUCUCUGCAGGUGUCCGUCACAGCAGAGGCCAACGCAAGUACGGCUUCCACUGGACAGGCUGUCACCUAACAGAAACCGACGCGCACCUGAGAGGAGACGAAAACCUCAACCCUGGACUCCCAUGAGGAGAGGCUGAAAGCAGACAAACAGAGGGACAAAGCGCCAAGAACGCCGACGUGCCUCUCUCUUUAUGCGAGCCUUUAAGUGGAGGUUGGGUAAACAUGUUGGGCGUCUCAGUAAAUACAUGCGAGUGACUCUGGAUUCUUCUGUGGCUUCAGCAGACGGACAAUGGAAGGAUUAGAACGGCCCUCGUGUGCAAAAUGUCAUCUUAGAAGAAUUAGAGCCGUCAUUGAUGUAAGUUUCUGGGUCGAUACUUGCGGGAAGAUGACACGUUUUUCUCGGUAUGGCCACAGAGGCCGUGACAAGCGAGACUUUAAGAUCUGAACCAGCGGGACAACUGGCCAGAAAGCAGUA